CUUACAGUUAACUAGUCCAACGCAAUAACGACCUGCCUCUCUCUCGUUGCACUCCACAAGGAGACUGCCUGUUACGCGAAUGCAGUAAGCCAAGUGCACUGCCCACAACCGCACGGCUCUCCAGAGGGUGGUGCAGUCUGCCCAACGCAUCAACGGGAGCAAACUACCUGCCCUCCAGGACACCUACAGCACCCAAUAUCACAGGAAGGCCAAAACGAUCAUCAAGGACAACCACCCGAGCCACUGUCUGUUCUCCCCGCUAUCAUCUAGAAGGCGAGAUCAAUUUCAAUGUAGCCGAUCAGAGAUACAGAGAGCUGUGUAAGCCUGUCCGGAGAUGAAGAGGUCCCAAUGAAGCACAGUGGUUCUCAGUCCUGGUCCUCAAAGGGGUAUAUUUUGAUGUGAGAGAGGAUGCCAACCCCCAGUCCCUGCCACCUCACCUGCUAAAAGAUAACCCUUGGGCCAACUGAAGCCCAAGGCUGGUUAGGAGACAAUGCUAGAGACACUAUUAUGUAAUUAUGAUGUUUAGUAGCACUGUAAUUAAUUAAUCAUAUGCUGUCUUCCCUGCUCCUCUGUUCUUAUCUCUUUCCCUUUCUAUCAUUGACACUUUUUCUGACACCUCUCUCCCCACCUUCUUCCUUUCUGUUUUUAUAAUGCACACCAGAUGUGCAUUGAAGUACAAAUUGAACUUGUAUUUAUAAUAUAAUAUUACAAUUAUAAUAUUUAUAAUGCAUGUAUUAUGUAUUUAUAACACUUGCAUGAUGAACUUCUUUCAAUUAAGCUUUCCACAUUCUCUACUGGAAUUGGUUCACACUCUACUGGUUGAAAUUAAGUCUCUCGUUUGAUGAAAUACCACAACUAUUGUCAUGACUUCCGCCAAAGUCGGUCCCUCUUCUUGUUCGGGCAGUGUUUGGUGGUCGACGUCGACGGCCUUCUAGCCAUCGCCGAGCCACUUUUCAUUUUCCAUUUGUUUUGUCUUUGUUUUACACACCUGGUUUCAAUUCCCCAAUUACAUGGGCAUUAUUUAACCCUCUGUUUUUCCCAUGGUUUUUGUGCGUGAUUGUUUUAUUGUAAGUUCGGUCCGAUGUUUGUGG